UCCAGAGCCAUAUCUCCCUGCAGCUCUCACCUGGUUUCCCACUGUUGAGCAAGGUUGAGCCUGGCAAGUACCUGGAUAGGAGACCUCCUGGGGAAAACUAGGGUUGCUGCUGGAA
rnacentral:rRNA from 1 species